CCUAUCUGUAAAAUGGGGUGUCAUGGUGCAGUUGGCCCACCUGUAAGCACCUACAGGCCCAGUGGUGGACCAGGACCGAAUUGUGCUUGGUGCUGCACAAACACAGAACAAAAAGAUGGUCCCUGCCCCAGGGGGGCUUACAACAGCACUGCCUCUGCCUCUCCCAUUCGCAGCUGCAUGACGCAGGUUUGAAAAAGGAAACAAUAACAUCCCUUCUCCUGACCUUUGGGCAUGUCGAUCCUAAACUGAUCUUCUGAAGCAGGAGGCACUUGUAAAGAAACACAGCUACAGACACAAACAAUGAGGCUUCCACACAGCUUGAGUUCCAGCUCAC